CCUACGGGAGGCAGCAGUGAGGAAUAUUGGUCAAUGGGCGCGAGCCUGAACCAGCCAAGUCGCGUGAGGGAUGGCGGCCCUACGGGUUGUAAACCUCUUUUGCCGGGGAGCAACGGGCGCCACGUGUGGCGCCACUGAGAGUACCCGGAGAAAAAGCAUCGGCUAACUCCGUGCCAGCAGCCGCGGUAAUACGGAGGAUGCGAGCGUUAUCCGGAUUUAUUGGGUUUAAAGGGUGCGUAGGCGGAUCGUUAAGUCAGUGGUCAAAUUGAGGGGCUCAACCCCUUCCCGCCAUUGAAACUGGCGAUCUUGAGUGGAAGAGACGUAUGCGGAAUGCGUGGUGUAGCGGUGAAAUGCAUAGAUAUCACGCAGAACCCCGAUUGCGAAGGCAGCAUGCCGGCUUCCGACUGACGCUGAAGCACGAAAGCGUGGGGAUCGAACAGGAUUAGAUACCCCAGUAGUC
rnacentral:rRNA from 1 species